UUGAACGCUGGCGGCAGGCUUAACACAUGCAAGUCGGACGGUAACAGGUCUUUCGGGAUGCUGACGAGUGGCGGACGGGUGAGUAAUGCUUGGGAAUCUGUUUGUUAGUGGGGGAUAACUCGGGGAAACCAGGGCUAAUACCGCAUACGUCUUUAGGGGGAAAGCAGGGGAUCGUAAGACCUUGCGCUAAUGAGUGAGCCCAAGUCGGAUUAGUUUGUUGGUGAGGUAAAGGCUCACCAAGACUGCGAUCCGUAGCUGGUCUGAGAGGAUGAUCAGCCACACUGGGACUGAGACACGGCCCAGACUCCUACGGGAGGCAGCAGUGGGGAAUAUUGGACAAUGGGCGCAAGCCUGAUCCAGCCAUGCCGCGUGUGUGAAGAAGGUCUUAUGAUUGUAAAGCACUUUAAGUCAGGAGGAAGGUGCGAGGGCUAAUAUUCCCUUGUGAUUGACGU
rnacentral:rRNA from 1 species